rnacentral:rRNA from 1 species
CCUACGGGAGGCAGCAGUGGGGAAUUUUGGACAAUGGGCGCAAGCCUGAUCCAGCCAUGCCGCGUGCGGGAAGAAGGCCUUCGGGUUGUAAACCGCUUUUGUCAGGGAAGAAACGGUCUGGGUUAAUACCCUGGGCUAAUGACGGUACCUGAAGAAUAAGCACCGGCUAACUACGUGCCAGCAGCCGCGGUAAUACGUAGGGUGCAAGCGUUAAUCGGAAUUACUGGGCGUAAAGCGUGCGCAGGCGGUUGUGCAAGACAGAUGUGAAAUCCCCGGGCUCAACCUGGGAACUGCAUUUGUGACUGCACAGCUAGAGUACGGUAGAGGGGGAUGGAAUUCCGCGUGUAGCAGUGAAAUGCGUAGAUAUGCGGAGGAACACCGAUGGCGAAGGCAAUCCCCUGGACCUGUACUGACGCUCAUGCACGAAAGCGUGGGGAGCAAACAGGAUUAGAUACCCUGGUAGUCCACGCCCUAAACGAUGUCACUGGUUGUAGGGAGUUCCUUCUCAGUAACGAGCUAACGCGUGAAGUUCGACCGCGUGGGGAGGUACGGCCGCGAGUAGAACGUACGAAGUAGAGUUAGACGGCGUGAGACGUGCGACGGACGACGACGAGGGAGGAGG